GGCGUGGCGGCGUUCGGGUUUUUGGGACGGCUUCGUGGCCUCCGUGGCGGAGGAGGCUGGUUCCUCGGCGAGGGUAGCUGGAUCUCUGGCACUCAUCCUUGGGUUCUGCAGACCUGUGGGCCACGAGGUAGCGAGUGGGCCCUCGAGCCCCACGUUCAGCCUCUGGGUAUCCGAUGCCCUGUCUGGAACCCGGUGUUCGCUCCUUCCACCAACAACCCCCCUCCCUUUUUUCUUUCUCCUGUGCAUGGAAAAAUUCCUCCUUGGGCGAUUAUCGUAGAUGAAUGUUUUCUUCAUCAUUUUUGCCCAGGUUGUAAGCAUCAAUAAUGUCUUUCAUCUUUGAGUGGAUCUACAAUGGCUUCAGCAGUGUGCUUCAGUUCCUAGGACUCUACAAGAAAUCUGGAAAACUUGUAUUCUUAGGUUUGGACAAUGCGGGCAAAACCACUCUUCUUCACAUGCUGAAAGAUGACAGACUAGGCCAGCACGUACCAACACUCCAUCCCACUUCAGAAGAACUGACGAUUGCUGGAAUGACUUUCACCACUUUUGAUCUUGGUGGGCACGAGCAAGCACGUCGGGUUUGGAAAAAUUACCUCCCAGCAAUUAAUGGAAUAGUUUUUCUGGUGGACUGUGCAGAUCAUUCUCGUCUCAUGGAAUCCAAAGUUGAACUUAAU
rnacentral:lncRNA from 1 species